AACCUCUGCAAUGCACGAAAGUGUGACAGGGGGAUUCCACGUGCAAGCUAUGCUUGCUUUUCUCAAGUCCAAAACGCUUGGGGAAUAAGGGCUGGGCAAGACCCGUGCCAGCCGCCGCGGUAACACGGGCAGCUCUAGUGGUGUUCGCGAAUAUUGGGCCUAAAGCGUGCGUAGCCUGUUAAACAAGUUUUUGGUGAAAGCCUGCGACUCAAUCGUGGGAAUUGCCAGGAAAACUGUUCGACUUGGGACCGGAAAGGGUCGGAGGUAUUCUGGGGGUAGGGGUAAAAUCCUGUAAUCCUUAGAGGACCAUCGGUGGCGAAGGCGUCCGACUGGGACGGGUCCGACGGUGAGGCACGAAAGCUAGGGGAGCGACCCGGAUUAGAUACCCGGUUAGUCCUAGCCGUAAAUGAUGCAAGUUUGGUAUUGCACUCCUUACGAGGGAUUGCAGUGCCGUAGGGAAGCCGUUAAACUUGCCGCCUGGGAGUACGGCCGCAAGGC
rnacentral:rRNA from 1 species